UUUGAGUUGGGCUUAAUGAAGAAAUAAAAACAUCAAGACAAUUUCUUGAAAGGGCUCAUGACUGUAUGUCUGAAGAAAAGCUGAAUAAUUAAGUCAGUGAUAUGGAGAUGAAACAUUAGCAUAUUAUUUCCCUUUUUUUCCUGCUAGGCCCGUUCAAAUUUAGAGUUUUUUUUAAGGAGAAUAAAGUCAAUGUUUACUUUGUCAUCAGCUUACACGUGUGUUUUUUAAAUCAGUGAAGCAGCAUUGAUAUGGAGGCAACCCCUGCAGUAUUGCCAGUGUUAUUGUUUGAGAGCCCGACACAUAAAUAAAUCAUAGGAUGAUUUUUUUUCAAUUAAAGUUGCUUCUGCUGUGAUGAAGUAAAAGUGAGUACAGUCCACAACAACCAAUUGAAUCCAUAGCCUGGGUAUGGAAACACCAGCGAACCAGUUGGAGAUCCAAAUUAACAUUAAAGAAAAACAAACCAUAAUUUUUUUUAGCCUCCUUUACCAUGUAAUGCAAACAUGACACAUUUCUAACUCACUCUGAAACCUUGUUGCUUGUUGCUGAAGAAGGAUCAGAUGAGUUAUUUACUUUGAAAAUUUGAACAAAAAAUGAAAGAAACUUUCAGUCAAAAUGAUCUGUUUACCUAAUGCUCUAACAGCCUUAAAAUUCUGUGAAUAAUCAAUCUGGAGUUAAACCCACAUAUGAAUAUUAUAAUAUUUAGUUGGAUUAGUUCAUUUUAUAUGCCAACAUCAAUGAAAGAAAGAGCCAGGCCACGGACCGCGUUGAGUCCUUGACGAAUAGGUAUUUCUGAUUUUAAUGCCAUUUUUGGAAUUUAUGUUGUGAUCUGUGCACACCACCAACCUUUGUCACAUGGGUUUUUAAAUAUAUGCAAAUUGAUGUGAGUGUCUUUAUUUGUGGAAAAGGGUGUUUGUCUUACCAGUGUCACACCAAAUCCCCUCUGUGCUUAGAGAGUGUGGAGGACGCCCUCCGCAAAGCUUACAGAGACACUUGUUGAGGGCUGCCUCCUCUCACCAUCAUGUGGCAUUGCUGUCUUCAGCCAUCUCUUUGACUGCUUCACAAAAUUUGCAAAUCGCCUCGCCAGCGGUGGAUUUAAAGGUGAGGAGAGGAGCCGAUGUCAUUGGUGAAAACAGCACUCAGCUGUGCUAAACCCACUCCAUGCCGUAUCCCCUCCCUCUUUGCUACUUACGCCGCUGGGAGGAGCUGUGUUAGGGAGGGGGGAUACUUAGGCCAGGCUGCGCUGCUCACCAAAAUACCAAAGUGUGCUUAGGCACGCCUCAUUGGCGCGGCAUACCCCAUGCUGCCAGUGUGAAAAUAGAGCCCAAUGUGUUAAUUUCUAUCAGCUUCUUUCCUGCCCCCUGCUGAACCACAGGAGGCUGAAAUUCACCUCACAAAUGCUCCCAGUAGGAAUUUGCAGACAGUGAAAAUUGCCACCAUUCCGCAGUGGUGCCAUUCCAUAUGCGAUGGAAAAUUGGGGUAAGUUCACAUGCAGGAUGAGGUUCUGGUCUUUAGAAACAGUUGAGAACAAAAUCCAGCUUGUGCUGGCCUUUGUUUCUAAAGAGCCAUCAGUGAAGUGGUGAACGCCAAUAGCUAGGUUGUCUUUGUGGUGCUGCCCUAAAUGGAAAUCACUGAAAUUGCUUUCUUUUGCAGCCAAGAGGACAACAAAGUGCAGAGAAGAGGAAAAAGCACGGUGGUGAAAUGGACUAUCCAGGCAUUUUCAUUUAUUUUAUUAUUAUUGUGUCAUGCACAGAAAGUGCCUAGCCCGAGUGGGCUUACAAGACACCAAAGAAAGGUAAUAUAAUAGAUGACGGACAGAUAACAGACAUAACAAAUUAAGCAUAUAAGCACUCCUGACAUUUUUUCCAGGUUUUAGAGACAAAAUAAGCUAAUUUAAAGACAUUAAAGUUGAACAACCAGUUCAUUCUAUCAUCGUCGGGUCACCAGAAAAUUUCUGGGUUUUUAACACACAUUUCCAUAAAUAAUGAAGCUCUCAGUUCAGCAUACAAAGGGCAAUAUAACAGAAAAUGUGAUUCACUUUCCACUUCACUGAGUUUGCAUAAUUCACACAGCCUAUCAUCUUCUGGAAUAUUUUUAAAUUUGCCAAUUUCAAGAUUCAAGGGGAGGCUUCCUGUUCUCAGUUUUGCCAACAAAGACCUUUGGUUUCUUGUAAGGUUUGCUCAAACAUGCGGUUCAGGUUCAGGGCCAUAACUGUGCUUUAAUUGGAUGUAAGUUCAUAAUUUAGAUUUCAAAAAAAUAUCAUUUAACCACUUAGUCUCAAACAAAACAAAUAACGUACCUCUAAAUGAAGUUAUUGAGCAGGUUAGGUUAUUACUGUAACUAUAUUGAAGUCUAACUCUGUCAAAUAAUACAAAUAUUUCAUUAGCCCAUGGUGAGCCAUUUAGCUUACUCCAAAUAAAAGCUCUUUUAUUGAUUCUGUCUUCUGGCAUAUUAACUAGACGAUUCCACAAUCUAAUCAUCUCACAUGUACGUCUUAUAGUACCAGGAAGCCAGUCCAUGUCACCCUGAACGGCUUGAUUUGAUGCAAAUUUAUGAACACCUAAAAAGCUGCGGGCGGCUCUAUUUUCUCUGGAGUCUGCUAUCUUGGAUUCCUUAUAUCCCCAAACCUCUGAGGCAUAAUUUAAAAUUGGGGAGACACAGGCAUCAUAUAGUUGUGAGUAGGUAGAGUAUCCAAGGGAUUUACAUAUCUUAAUUUUGCUGACCACACACUUGACCAGGCAAGUGGAAAGUCCUGUCCAAAAGUAGUGUGGACAUCCAACACUCAGAGCAUGUAUAUGCUGUUCAAGAAAACUGAUUAAUCGCCUUAAAAAGAAAAAUUAAUAAUUGAAAUGUAGGACCAGUGUCAUGGUCCGACUCAAAAACCUUCAGGUCUCUGUUCAAGUCUGUGUGCUGUUUGAAACUUAGCCUGACCAAAGCCACAAUUGUUUUCUAAACAUCACCAAGAAUUAAACACAUUUUAAAAAGCACUCGUCCCCAAGUCCUCAUAAUGAUCUUGUUUGAAAAAGCCUUUUUUCAAUGCCUUUGAUUUACUGACCUGAAACAAAAAACAAUUUCCCUCUAGAGGACAAUAAAAGAAUGAAGUGAUUAAUAAAAUACUCUUGAAAGGACAAGUGAAAAAAGAGAAACGGAGGUGCUUCUCUGUCUUUUAUUGUUAUUUUUCCAGUUAUGCUAACUCUACAAAUAAACACUCUUAAAAAUGCACAGACAGCCUGACUGGAAGAUUAAUUUCCCCCUUGACCUCCAGUUUUGCAAAUCUGUAUCCAUCCACCGCAGAGGUGCUUUGGAUAAAACAGCAGAAGUUCUGCAUGGAAGCUCUGAAAGGUUAAACACACUCUCACUUAUUCUGCGCUCAUUACAUCCUCCCUCACUCAUACUCACUGUUCUUAGCUGUUACUCAGCAGAUGUGUCACAAUAUCUUUUUCUCUUUUUACCCUUUUCUCCUUGAGUUUUUCCUCAAGCUUCCCUCUCUUUUGCAUAGUCCAGCACAUAUUGAUUUUAUUCCUCUCUUUGCACUUCCUCCUUUCUCCCUCCCGAUUUGAUUUUUCAACCCCCUCUCAUCUACACAAAUAACAUUUCCUCCUCUUCCCCCUCAUUUCUUAUGAUUUCCCAGAAUGCUCCACACUUUCCUCUCCAGUGUGUGUCCCUGUCUUAUCCCCUCAUUCCGUCUUCAUCAAACAAACAGCUACAUUAUUCAGCACAGGGAAGAGAGAGUCAGAGAGGCCCUGUGGGUUAAUCUAUCACCCUCAUCCACCAAUCAGAGCUCUGCCCUGUUCUUAUCUCUGUGUCCUGGUUGGAUGGUGAAGCUGCCCGUCAAACUACACUGGGGUCCAGAUGAUUGUGCAUGCAGACUAGCGAGCCUGCAAUACCCUCUCCAUCUCAAUCACACAGGCUUGGCAAGUGAACACACACACACACACACACACACACACACACACACACACACACACACACACACACACACACACACACACACACACACACAAACAAGCGGCAUGCACAUAACACUCACUCUUGAUUUUCUGACUAAUACACACACUCACUCACACACUCUCUGGAAGAGACUGGAGAAGCUAACGAGCAUGUGACAUUGGGAAGGGUGAAUAAGGAAACACACAUAUCCUCACACACACUUUCUCACACACACCCUCACACACGCUACAUCCGUAUGCAUAAAUCAAUAGCCGUGCUAUGGCUGCAUUUACUAAGGUCAACUAGGGCUCAGGCUGACGGGAAAUAAGAGGACAGUGUGUGUGUGUGGGUGUGUGUGGGGGGGAUGCGACAGUUAGACUGAGGGACUAAUGAAAGCAUCUCUAAAAGGAAAGGUUGUGGGGUGAGGUAGAGCAGGUGAGAAAUGCAUAAAAAGGGAGAUGAAAAAAGAGAAAAUGAGACAAAGGAAUGAAGAGGGCGGGUGGAGGAGAGGACAGGGCACACGUGCACGAGGAGGACAGUUAAAUGGAGGCUGGAGAUGGCUUGGGUCAAUAGGGGAGAUGAUAGAGAGAUGAGCAGAAGGAAGAAAGGAAGGACGAGAGAGGGCGAGGAAAGGGCUGUGAACCCAUUUGCUGAGCUCAGGUGUUUUGGUGGCUCUGUCAUGUCUCUAAAAACAACAGACUAUUUGAUUCCUCAACUGCUUUGAGAGGCCAGUCUGGGUCAGAGCCUAUGACUGGCAUUUAUUUAUCCACUCCUUCGCUGUUCUUUUCUCAGUCGGGGGAUGAACUGAGACCGAGGUGCCACUCACGACCACUUCAUGGGUCUCCCUGGAGGUAAAAUUUACAACCUGGGUUUACUAAUUUCAUAUUUGGCCAUCACUGUCAGGAAUAAGAAAUUGCUGACGUCAAUAACUGGAGCAGACGUGGUUAAAACGCUGAGUGAGUGGUCAGGCAGACAGAGGGGUUACUAUGAAGCAUGUUUGUCACUUGGGCUUUGUUGACAUGUAAAACAAUCACUUUGUUUGCAUGUUGUUCAAAAAUAGAUGUGUUGCAUUUCUCCAACUGAACCUGAACUUCAAAACUACAUGUAAACACAUUAGUCCGGCUAAAAUCCCAAGAGAUCAAACUUCUUAUCGUCGGACAAAACAUUCUCAAAAUUAAAAAGAAUUAGCUGAUAGCCAAUAUCAGACUCGUUCUGCCAAGCGGUGAUGAAGUGGAGCCUGUACAUUUAAAAGUAAAACUCUGUUUCACCCAUGCACAGUCUUUAUCCGUGACCCCAACAAGACACACCAAGAAUUGAUUUGUACUUGAACAACAUAUUUUGCAGUGUGACCUCUUGAUUAAGCUGCCACAUAAGGUUAGGGAUAGGUAGAGGACAUGAAUUUGUGUAUAAUAAGUUCAUAUAGUGGCAGAGCAGUCUGACUGAUAGCACUGAAGGACCAGUGAAAAGAAGAGCACAUAAAGAGUCAACAAAAAGCUUAACCACAAAACUGCCCCUGAGUUACUUUCUUUCCAGGAUCUCUAAGUAGCAUACUGUUUUAAAAAAAUGUGUCUAGCACCAACUCCAGGGAGGCUGUUUAUAGAUUUGUUGACUCUGCUUCUAUUUUUCACAGCACCAUCGUCAUUUUACAUUGUAACUCAGAGCUCCAGUGAAUUUUCUCUUUAUUUUGUAUUCCUUUCAUGUUUUAGAGCCACACUUCAAUUAUUAAUCCCUUUUACUUUCUAAACUUAUACGUGCUUAUUUCUGUCACCAUACUGCUGCAACAACCCAAUUCCCCGCUUGGGAUCAAUAAAAUUUUAUCUCAUCUUGUAUCUUAUCUUGAAUUAUUCAGACUGCUGGGGGAAAGAGAUACACACUUUUAUUUUAUUGUAAUUUAUUCCCCAGCAUGCCGCCCUGAGUCGUCUCAGGCAGUGGCCUCUCCCACUGCUGCACAACCUCUCUCCUUCUGCUAGAGCUCAGUGCAAGGGCAGGCUGGAGUGACACUACCAUGAUUUACCAUGGUGACACACAGAAAACACAAUGGGUUUGUGUUUGUAUAUGAUCUUUCUUGGUCAUAAAGCUAAUACACGAAUGUACUUCCACUACUUUUCUGCCUAUUCAGGCUCAUCAGAAAACACACAGAGACAUGUUUGUAUCAAAGAUACUCUGAUCUGCAGGCAUGACGUGUUUUUGAUUUCAUUUCUCUGUUAACACAAUAAUUAUGAAAGAAAUAACAAUCAUACACACAAGAGAGGCUUCAAUUUCUAACAAAAACGGUUAACACAAACUGCACUUUAAUCCUCAAUUUUAUAGAUAAAUGGAUAAAGGCUUUUAAACUAUCCUUUGUCAGGGUGUGUGGGGCUUAAGACAACCCUGAGGCUCCCCCUCUUUGCUGGUAUUACUUUAGCUUUAAGGGCACCUGGUUUUAUCUGGAGUUCAGCACCUAACCAAUGUAAGCACAGGGUAACAGCUGCCAAAUUUGACUUUUUCAGGACAUGUCACAAUACCCGGUCAGUUUCCCUGUUGGUUUUAGACUUAAAUCUAACAGUGAUGAGUAAAUGAAUACUGACAGCCCAACAAAAAAGGUAUUAUUAAUAUUGCUUAGACACUAUGCUGUUUUCUAUUACAGCAGAUCAAUUUCUUGGUUAAUUCUUGCUGGUUUAGGGUUUAAGAUUGUUUAUACUCAUGUCUGUGGUUAUUCCUUAGUCAUUUAUCCAGAACUGUCUGUUCAUAUAAAGUCAGUCUACUGAUAACUACAGUUCUAACAUUUCUAUGUCACUGUCUUAUAAUAGUACAUUAUCAGGACAUUAUGUUCACAAAGUAUAAUAAUAAUAAUGUUGGUCCAGAGCAGUUUUGUGUCGUCUAAUCUGCUUUAAGUAAGGAUUACAGCGUGUCUUCAGUCUUACAGACAGCGUGACUCAACAUCUGAAAAAGCCUGUCCUCCACAGUCUCCUGUGUUUACUAUGCAAAUAUGACACCACUAUGUCACUCAGCAGAUGACCUGUUUUCUGUUCAGGGGGGACAGACGUCAAACAGCGUCUUUGACUUUUGAAUCUUGUUAUUAUGAUCACGACAAAAACAACAUGUUUCGAGAACAGCAGGUGUGGAGCUCAAGAGAAAUGGAGUGUUGGGCGUCUGUAAUUGCUAAAAAGGCUCAGAAACUGUCAUCUGAAAAGACCAGAGGAGCACAAAAACCUCUUCUCUGUCUGUAAUCUCUUUUGGGACCUGAAAGACAGAAAAAAUAUUACAAGUUAGCACACUGAGGUCCAUUAUUCAGUGGGCUGUUCUGGGUUUGAGUGUUCUUUAGCAUGAAGUAUAACAAGACAAGCCAAAGCAUGCAUCAAAUUAUAAAAAACAGUACUGUAGAAAUAAAUACAAAAUAAAUUGUUGCAUUUUUAAUAUAAUUAAAAUAUAUUUGAAUCAAAAAAAGUAAAAGUCUUAUAGGAUGUGCCCAGAGCAAACGAGACAAACAACACUUUACAAAUCGAUUUAGGUAGUUUGACCUUUGGGUCCCCAAAUCUGAAGAUACCAUUGUUUUUAGGCCAUUAAUCUCUUUUGAUGGACCUGACUCCUCUUAGGUUAAGACAAGUGAUACUGGGUGAGAAUAUCAUUGACAGGACAUAAUAAGCAUAUUGUCAUGACAUUUAUCUGAUUGCCCUUUUCUGUUUGCUCUUUUGUUGUCUUUGUAGGAGUUGGAUGGUACAAACAUUUCUGUUUUUUUUUUUUUUUCUGCAGGCACAAAUACUUACAAAACAGGAUUUCUAAAAAGUGUUAGUGUUGAGUUUUGCUGGAAAUAAAGCCACAGUUAAAGGAUAACGCUGAGGGGGUCCAUACAAUAGUGAUACUGAUGUCCUGACAGUGACUGUGUGGAAGACAAUGUGUCACUCCCUAAGCUGUAAACCACAGACUCUAAAGACACGGGUAAUUUCUUCAACCCAAUUCCUGGGUUUUACAUGUUGAGUUAAAUUUCCAGGUUAUUUUUCAGAUCCAUACCCAUUUCUUGGGCCGUAUGAAUUCUAUUGUAACCCAAUUUGAAGGUUAUUUGAAUGGGUUAAUAAUUAUGGGUUAUUUUUUUGAGAGUAACCCAAAAAUUGGUGGGUCAGAAAGUUGGGUUGUUUUUAACCCAGGGGUUUUUAGAGUGUAAAAGUACAGUGAAACC
rnacentral:lncRNA from 1 species